UACAGAGGUCUCAAGCGUUGUUCGGAUUCAUUGGGCGUAAAGGGUGCGUAGGCGGCGCGGUAAGUCGGGUGUGAAAUCUCGGGGCUUAACUUCGAAACUGCAUUCGAUACUGCGGUGCUUUGAGGACUGGAGAGGAGACUGGAAUUCAUGGUGUAGCAGUGAAAUGCGUAGAGAUCAUGAGGAAGACCAGUGGCGAAGGCGGGUCUCUGGACAGUUCCUGACACUGAGACACGAAGGCCAGGGGAGCAAACGGG
rnacentral:rRNA from 1 species